GUUCCUAGAAAUUAUGUUUUUACUACUCAUAUUAGGUCUCCCAUAAAUAUGUGUUUCUUGUUGCAUAGCUGGAGAAAGAGGGACGGAGGAAUGAGUAUGAGAUGCACAAGUAAUUGGCUUUGAACCAAAGGCAGAAGAUGGUCUUACAGCGGAAGACAGAAGAAGCUUCUAUGGCUACCAAAAGGCUGAAAGAAUUGCUGGAGUCUCGAAAAGCUUCCUCUAGGGAGACAUCUGGUGCUGCGGGUGUCCAUUUUACAUCCUGUUUAACGUGUGAUGAAUGAAAGUUUAUCUUAUCCAAGGGGCCAACAGGGUCAUUGCAUUUGCACCUGGAUAAGCCCAAUUGAACCUUCAAUCUCAUAGAUAUCUAAUGUCUUAGUGAAUGUUCGAGUUCCUUCUCUAAUAUGAUUCUGACAAAUUGUAUUUUGUUGAGAAAAGGCUUUGAUGCGGACCAUUGAGCACGAGCUAGAAGUCACCAUAUGGGUUCAUGAAGUACGUUUUGAAUAUGAACGUCAUAUGAAAGAGAGGGCCAGAAUGGCGAAGGAGAUUGCUAGACUUAAGUAAGAAGCGGAAUUGCGUAAGCAAGCAAACUUAAGUGAUUGUCCACCUGCAGUGUCUCCUGGUGCGAGAGAUUCAAGAAUUUGUGCUCUUGAGAACAUGCUUGCGACUUCUUCCAGAAGCUUAAGAGCAUGAAAGGGUCUUCAGUGGCAGGCAAAGAACCUGAUGAAUUACCUUUUUAAUUUGGCAUCUUCUUCGAGGUGUCUACUGUGGGAUAAAGAGGUUGAUUGCAGAGAGGACUCACAUAUAAGAGAUUUAAAGGAGAGAGUUGUCAAACUAAGCACUGUGAUCAGACAGUUGGAAAUGCAGAAGUUAGAACUUGUUCAUCAGCUAAAGUCGCAG